AUGCAAGUUGAGCGCUGAAGACUGGUACUUGUACCGGUUGGAUGAGCAGCCAUUGGGUGAGUAACGCGUGGGUAACCUGCCCUAUAGAGGGGGAUAACUAGAGGAAACUUUAGCUAAUACCGCAUAAAAUCUAAUAACACAUGUUAUAAGAUUGAAAGUGCCAACUGGUACACUAUAGGAUGGACCCGCGUUGUAUUAGCUAGUUGGUGAGGUAAAGGCUCACCAAGGCGAUGAUACAUAGCCGACCUGAGAGGGUGAUCGGCCACACUGGGACUGAGACACGGCCCAGACUCCUACGGGAGGCAGCAGUAGGGAAUCUUCGGCAAUGGACGAAAGUCUGACCGAGCAACGCCGCGUGAGUGAAGAAGGUUUUCGGAUCGUAAAACUCUGUUGUAAGAGAAGAACACCAGUAAGAGUGGAAAGCUUACUGGCUGACGGUAUCUUACCAGAAAGCCACGGCUAACUACGUGCCAGCAGCCGCGGUAAUACGUAGGUGGCAAGCGUUGUCCGGAUUUAUUGGGCGUAAAGCGAGCGCAGGCGGUUCAUUAAGUCUGAUGUAAAAGGCAGUGGCUCAACCAUUGUAAGCAUUGGAAACUGGUGAACUUGAGUGCAGUAGAGGAGAGUGGAAUUCCAUGUGUAGCGGGUGAAAUGCGUAGAUAUAUG
rnacentral:rRNA from 1 species